rnacentral:lncRNA from 1 species
CCCAGUGGGAUUACAGAAUUCCCUCCAGGAUCAGAGAAUUCCCAAAAGAAUUCCCGCCUGGAAUCCCGGAAUUCCCACCAGGAUUCCCAGAAUUGCACCCGGAACCAGAGAAUUCCCACAAAAUUCCCGCUGAAUUCCCAGCGAAUUCCCACCUGGAGCAGAGAAUUCCCAGCUGGAUCACAGAAUUCCUGCAGAAUUCCCACCUGGAUUCCCAGAAUUCCGGUUAAAUCCCAGCAGAAUCAGAGAAUUCCCACCUGAAACCAGAGAAUUCCCAAGGAAUUCCCACCUCGAUCUGAGAAUUCCCACCUGGAUCAGAAAAUUCCCAGCAGGAUCAGAGGAUUCCCAUCUGGAACCAGAGAAUUCCCUCCAGGAUCGCAGAAUUCCCACCCGGAUCCCAAAAUUCCCACAGAAUUCCCACCUGGAUUAAAGAAUUUCUCCCCGCAGCAGAGAAUUCCCACAGAAUUCCCACCAGGAUCACAGAAUUCCCACAGGAAUCCCAGAAUUCCCUCGGAAUUCCCAGCUGGAUCAGAGGAUUCCCACUGGAACCGGAGAAUUCCCACCGGGAUCCCAGAAUUCCCAGUGGGAUCUGAGAAUUCCCACAGAAUUCCCACCUGGAUCACAAAAUUCCCGCUGGGAUCGCAGAAUUUCCCACCUGGAGCAGAGAAUUCCCACAGAAUUCCCAGCAUUAAUUCCCGCAGAAUUAAUUCCCAGCUGGAUCAAAGAAUUCCCACCACAAUUCCCAAGGAAUUCCCACCAGAAUUCCCGCAGAAUUCCCGCAGCAUUCCCAGCUGGAUUGGAGCAUUCCCGCAGAAUUCCCAGCAGAAUUCCUGCAGAAUCUGCACCUGGAUCAGAGGAUUCCCACCAGAAUUCCUGCAGAAUUCCCACCAGAAUUCCCGAAGAAUUCCCAGCUGGAUCAGACAAUUCCCACCAGAAUUCCCACCAGAAUUCCCAGCAUUAAUUCCCGCAGCAUUAAUUCCCACCUGGAUCAGAGGAUUCCCACUGAAUUCCCACCAGGAUUCCCGCAGGAUUCAUUCCCAGCUGGAUCAGAGGAUUCCCACCAGAAUUCCCGCAGGAUUCCCAGCAUUAAUUCCCGCAGAAUUCCCAGCUGGAUCUCUGGGUCCCCGUUGGGCUCCCGGGCCCGGGGGCUCCGCGCUCGCGCUCCAUGAUGGAGANAAAAAAAAAAAAAAAAAUGGGAUCGGGAUUCCAGAGGGGGAAAAAAUAAAAUAAAUUUUGGAUUGGGAUUGGGAAUUCCAUAAAAAAAAAUUUGGUAUUUGAAUUUCAUUAAAAAAUAGGAUUCGGAUUCUAGAGGGAAGAAAUAAAAUAAAUUGGGGAUUGGGAUUGGGAAUUCCA